rnacentral:rRNA from 1 species
UACGUAGGAGGCGAGCGUUGUCCGGAUUUACUGGGCGUAAAGAGCUCGUAGGUGGUUUGUCGCGUUGUUCGUGAAAACUCACAGCUCAACUGUGGGCGUGCGGGCGAUACGGGCAGACUGGAGUACUGCAGGGGAGACUGGAAUUCCUGGUGUAGCGGUGGAAUGCGCAGAUAUCAGGAGGAACACCGGUGGCGAAGGCGGGUCUCUGGGCAGUAACUGACGCUGAGGAGCGAAAGCGUGGGGAGCGAACAGG